rnacentral:rRNA from 1 species
UUGACCUCGGAUCAGGUAGGAAUACCCGCUGAACUUAAGCAUAUCAAUAAGCGGAGGAAAAGAAACCAACAGGGAUUGCCCUAGUAACGGCGAGUGAAGCGGCAACAGCUCAAAUUUGAAAUCUGGCUCUCGGGCCCGAGUUGUAAUUUGUAGAGGAUACUUUUGAUGCGGUGCCUUCCGAGUUCCCUGGAACGGGACGCCAUAGAGGGUGAGAGCCCCGUCUGGUUGGAUGCCAAAUCUCUGUAAAGUUCCUUCAACGAGUCGAGUAGUUUGGGAAUGCUGCUCUAAAUGGGAGGUAUAUGUCUUCUAAAGCUAAAUACCGGCCAGAGACCGAUAGCGCACAAGUAGAGUGAUCGAAAGAUGAAAAGCACUUUGAAAAGAGAGUUAAAAAGUACGUGAAAUUGUUGAAAGGGAAGCGUUUAUGACCAGACUUGGGCUUGGUUAAUCAUCUGGGGUUCUCCCCAGUGCACUUUUCCAGUCCAGGCCAGCAUCAGUUUUCCCCGGGGGAUAAAGGCGGCGGGAAUGUGGCUCUCUUCGGGGAGUGUUAUAGCCCACCGUGUAAUACCCUGGG